rnacentral:rRNA from 1 species
GGUGAACCUGCGGAAGGAUCAUUAACGAAUAUAAUUCGAGGGGUUGUCGCUGGCCUCGCUCGCGAGGCAUGUGCACGCUUCUUGUUUUUCAUAACUCACCUGUGCACCUAAUGUAGGAUGCCUCUCCUCCGGGAGGGGGGACCUAUGUCUUCGUAUACAUCUUCGUGUAGAAAGUCUUUGAAUGUUUACUAUCAUCGAGUCGCGACUUCUAGGAGACGCGAUUCUUUGAGAUAAAAGUUAUUACAACUUUCAGCAAUGGAUCUCUUGGCUCUCGCAUCGAUGAAGAACGCAGCGAAAAGCGAUAUGUAAUGUGAAUUGCAGAUCUACAGUGAAUCAUCGAAUCUUUGAACGCACCUUGCGCUCCUCGGUGUUCCGAGGAGCAUGCCUGUUUGAGUGUCAGUAAAUUCUCAACCCCUCUCGAUUAGCUUCGAGAGGGCGCUUGGAUAGUGGAGGUUGCCGGAGACUUGGAUUCGUCCAGGACUCGGGCUCUUCUGAAAUGCAUCGGCUUGCGGUCGACUUUCGACUAUGCGCGACAAGGCUUUCGGCGUGAUAAUGAUCGCCGUUCGCUGAAGCGCAUGACCGAGGGUUCCGUGCCUCUAAUACGUCGACCACUUACUAUCUCUCCGGAGAGAACAGGGUCUUCCUUAUUGACUUUUGACCUCAAAU